GGUGCAGCCCAGACAACACCAAAACCCCAGAAAUCUGCUGGCAGUGACUAAUGCUUAUCUCCUUUGCCCUCUGUGCUGUGGUCCUGUUAACCCAAGAUUCUUCCAAGGCUUCCAUCGCAGAUAUGGAGAAGUCUGGAAAGCCACCUCCACGCCCUGACGUAGCACUAUAGCACAGCCCUGAAGUGGCAGCUGUGAAAUGCAGAACAGCCAGACAAAGCUGGUAACGCGUUUGUACAGCCCGGGGUGUCAGGAGGAAUCAGCUCCGCAGAGCAGACAAGGAGACAGAGAAGUGAAGUUUUAGGUUCUCUCCCUGGUUUGCAACAUUGCAAAACAAGCUAUCCCCGGGUCCUCUGGGAAGACUUUCUGCGCGACAAUUAUCCCUCUCUUCGAGUCUGAAAGAGAAUUACUGCACAUGAAGCUGGCGAGGUUCAGAGAAACUGAAAGGUUCUUGCAUUAGGGACUUUGAAGUGUGACCCUGCGAUUGCCAGAAGCCAGCCAGCACCUUCCUCCAGAAGCACGGUGGGGCACAACGCUGUGCUUGGGAAGAUGCAUUCCCUUGAAAUAAGGCUGAGCUACAAGGAAAACUGCCUGCACAGGAGCUUGGCUGAAUAUAAGGUAUCGGAGAAUGAGAGAUUCAUGGCA